UGUGUGUGUUCUGCAGGAGUGUGUGCUGUUAUAGAGGAGCUUCUGCUGGACGCUGCAGAUGAAGGAAAGCUGGAGAUGAGCUAAAGCAAAGUAUAGUCAAGUAAAGCAAAGUAAGCAGGCGGUGGUGUGUGGGGACUCGGUCAUUGAUUGUGUUGAAGGUUCAGGGGUCUCUGCGCUGCACAAACACACACACACACACACACGCACGCACACACUCCCACACACUGAUAAAGCGGGUCCAGAGGGUCAGUGGUGUCCAGCACAGAUCAUCAGUAUACAGCAGCUUGAUUAAUCACUGUAGUGUGUGUGUGCGUGUGCGUGUGCGUGUGCGUGUGCGCGUGCGCGUGUGCGUGUGAUGAUCACCCGUCAGAUCUCCUGUGUUUUACUGUUCUCUCCUGCUAUCACUCUGGAAACUGAAGCAGAAGUCCUCAAACAAUCACAAGUUUUACCUCCUGCUUUUACCGCUGGACCACCAGGGGGCGCCUCAUGCUAUUAGAUCUGAAGGGUUAUUGGGGGAUCCACUUUGAAUGGAGGAUCUGGAUUGGUGGAUCGGCCUCUCUCUGCUCUGCCCUGCCCCUGGAUAUUCAAUAUUGACCCAAAACAAUUGAUCAUGAUUAUGAUUAUGAGUGGAGAAAUGAACACAUACUGAACACACAGAGGACACAACAAGACUAUUGACAAGAUAAACGUUCCUAUUUAAAUAAUAUAUCGGUGAUUAGGGUUUAUAUAUGUACAAAUACACACACACACACACACACACACACACACACACACACACACACACACACACACACACAAUGUCAAAACAAGCUUUACUUUGGAUGAGAUUGAUCAUAAAUAUUAAGAUAUUUGACACUGUAGUCACGCAUUUAUGGAUAUACACACUACAGCAGUGUGUGUUGUAAAUAUGAAGUGAUUAGGGAUGUGAUUAAUAACAGCACUGAUAACUAUAGAUAUUAUUGGUCUGAUCUGAGGAAAUGUUCAACAUGUGGAAUCAGUGUGUAGAGAGAGAAACGCCAGCAGAGCGUCAUAGGAAACAUCUUUAUUCAUCAUCUACACGCGUAUACAGCUCUGUUAAUCAGGGGAUUAGUCUGCUCAGCAUCACUAAUAGCAGGAGUUCCUCAGCUGUGUGUGUGUGUGUGUGUGUGUGUGUGUGUGUGUGUGUGUGUGUGUGUUACUUCUUUCAGAAGCUCAGAAACACACACACAUAUGCACUGUAAAGCCACUAGUUGACCUAAAGUGAGUAAAGCUGUUGCUGGAACUUAAUUUCCUCAGUUACACUCAGUCUAUUUACUUCAUCAUUUACAAUCAACUCAACAGUUCCAUGCUGGAUUACUCACUUAUACGGGGCUUCAUUUACAGCGCAGACUGAUGAGCAGAAACAAACACACACACACACACACACACACCUGAACCAUAACAUCUCAUGAUUUAAAAAAAUAAUGCAUUAUCAGACAGCUCUGACAGAAGACACACAAACAAACGCAGACACACAUCUGAUGCAAUUAAUGUGGACUGUAGAAAAUAAAGACACACACACACACACACACACACACACACACACACA